AAGAUACUCCCUCCGUGCAGAAUUACUUGUCGCAGGUAUGGAUGUAUCUAGAUGCAUUUUAGUUCUAGAUACAUCCAUUUCUGCGACGAGUAAUUUGGGACGGAGGGAGUAUAAG
rnacentral:pre_miRNA from 1 species